rnacentral:lncRNA from 1 species
GUACCUGUUAAUGGGUAAUGAAAACCUGAAUCAUUAAAACAUCUCAGGCAAAAGCUGCACCAUUUUUCUAUCAAACCUUUAGACAUAAGAAUAGUUGAGUCAACUGAUUUUAGCGUGUGCCAUCACAACCAACUAGUGGGUGCCCCUUUCUAAUAUCUGGUGCCCCUUUCUAAUAUCCUCAUUUCUUGCCUGUGAGGAAAAUUAUGUUGACGAUCAGAGCUAGAACUAAGGGGAAAUAAUAGAGAAAAGUGAGAAGAAAACAAACUUGCUCUUCCUGAGUAACCAAGAUUCUUGCAAAGGAGUUCGAAAUUUAAAGGCCUGGUAGAAUCAUUGAUACAAGUGGAUGCAGUGGCACAUGCCUAUAAUCCCAGCCACUCAGGAAACUGAGGCAGGUGGAUUGGAUCACAAGUUUGAGGUUAGCCUCAACAACUUAAAUCCUGUCUUAAAAUAACAAAGGGCCGAAGAUGUAUCUCAGUGGUAAGUCACCCCUGCGUACUGAGGAGGAAAAAAAGUUGAUAUAUUUGACCAAAUGAUCAUUGUAUGCAUUUCCAGGAUCUUUUCACAGUAUCACUAUCCUGAACAGUUUGGCACACUCCUUCACUACUGACAUCUUCAUGCUUAUUUUUUGUCCUAUUUUGUCCUGCUAAUUGACACCAGGAGCCACCAAGUC